rnacentral:rRNA from 1 species
AUUGAACGCUGGCGGAAUGCUUUACACAUGCAAGUCGAACGGCAGCACGGACUUCGGUCUGGUGGCGAGUGGCGAACGGGUGAGUAAUGUAUCGGAACGUGCCCAGUCGUGGGGGAUAACGUAGUGAAAAUUACGCUAAUACCGCAUACGAUUUAUGGAUGAAAGCGGGGGAUCGCAAGACCUCGCGCGAUUGGAGCGGCCGAUAUCAGAUUAGGUAGUUGGUGGGGUAAAGGCCCACCAAGCCAACGAUCUGUAGCUGGUCUCAGAGGACGACCAGCCACACUGGAACUGAGACACGGUCCAGACUCCUACGGGAGGCAGCAGUGGGGAAUUUUGGACAAUGGGCGAAAGCCUGAUCCAGCCAUUCCGCGUGCAGGAUGAAGGCCCUCGGGUUGUAAACUGCUUUUGUACAGAACGAAAAGGUUUCUACUAAUACUAGGAGCUCAUGACGGUACUGUAAGAAUAAGCACCGGCUAACUACGUGCCAGCCGCCGCCGUAA